GACGAACGCUGGCGGCGUGCUUAACACAUGCAAGUCGAACGGAAAGGCCCUGCUUUUGUGGGGUGCUCGAGUGGCGAACGGGUGAGCAACACGUGAGUAACCUGCCCUGGACUUUGGGAUAACUUCAGGAAACUGGGGCUAAUACCGGAUAGGAGCUCCUGCUGCAUGGUGGGGUUUGGAAAGUUUCGGCGGUUGGGGAUGGACUCGCGGCUUAUCAGCUUGUUGGUGGGGUAGUGGCUUACCAGGGCUUUGACGGGUAGCCGGCCUGAGAGGGUGACCGGCGACAUUGGGACUGCGAUACGGCCCAGACUCCUACGGGAGGCAGCAGUGGGGAAUCUUGCACAAUGGGCGGAAGCCUGAUGCAGCAACGCCGCGUGCGGGAUGACGGCCUUCGGGUUGUAAACCGCUUUCGCCUGUGACGAAGCGUGAGUGACGGUAAUGGGUAAAGAAGCACCGGCUAACUACGUG
rnacentral:rRNA from 1 species